GAUGAACGCUGGCGGUAUGCUUAACACAUGCAAGUCGAACGGACUCUUCGGAGUUAGUGGCGGACGGGUGAGUAACGCGUGAGAAUCUGGCUUUGGGUUCGGGACAACCACUGGAAACGGUGGCUAAUACCGGAUGUGCCGAGAGGUAAAAGAGAAAUUGCCUGAAGAUGAGCUCGCGUCUGAUUAGCUAGUUGGUGAGGUAAAGGCUCACCAAGGCAGCGAUCAGUAGCUGGUCUGAGAGGAUGACCAGCCACACUGGGACUGAGACACGGCCCAGACUCCUACGGGAGGCAGCAGUGGGGAAUUUUCCGCAAUGGGCGAAAGCCUGACGGAGCAAUACCGCGUGAGGAAAGAAGGCUCUUGGGUUGUAAACCUCUUUUCUUAGGGAAGAACAAAAUGACGGUACCUAAGGAAUCAGCAUCGGCUAACUCCGUG
rnacentral:rRNA from 1 species